UCUUAACCAAGUUUUCCGUUGGGUUAACCUUCGGAAAGGAUCAAUA
rnacentral:rRNA from 1 species